rfam:Hordeum vulgare subsp. vulgare, WGS project CAJW01000000 data, contig: morex_contig_318798
UUAGUACUACCUCCGUCCGGAAAUACUUGUCCUAAAGAUAAAUGUAUCUAUUCUUAUUUUAAUUAUAGAUACAUUCAUUAUAUGCAUUUUUGGACAAGUAUUUCCGGACGGAGGGAGUACUUG